rnacentral:rRNA from 1 species
UUUAGCCAUGCUAGUCGCACGGGUUUAGACCCGUGGCGUAUAGCUCAGUAACACGUGGCCAAACUACCCUAUAGACCAUGAUAACCUCGGGAAACUGAGGCUAAUCGUGGAUAUCGCAUUCACACUUGAAUGCCGAAUGCGAGAAACGUUCCGGCGCUAUAGGAUGUGGCUGCGGCCGAUUAGGUAGACGGUGGGGUAACGGCCCACCGUGCCAGUAAUCGGUACGGGUGGUGACAGCCAGAACCCGGAGACGGUAUCUGAGACAAGAUACCGGGCCCUACGGGGCGCAGCAGGCGCGAAACCUUUACACUGCACGACAGUGCGAUAGGGGGACUCCGAGUGCGAGGGCAUAUACCUCUCGCUUUUCUAGGCCCAAAAGUGGUCGCAAAUAAUCUGGU